UGUUUUGCAAGUUAACUGAUGCGGUUUGUGUUUAGUUGCGUUGUUUUUUUUAUUUAUAAUAAUAAGCAUAGGUGAAAAUAAAUUCAAAUAAUAAUCGAUGAUCUUUUCGCGGAUCCUUUUCUGAUUCAAAAACAUAAUGAAAUUCCUGAGCUUCGAAAUCUUUUAGUGAAUGAAUCGGGAAUAGAUCCUUCUGUUUAUUCAAUCGUAAUCGGAAUUAUAUUAUAUUUUUCGAGACUGUACGAUUGGAAAAACGCAUCCCUCUGGACACUUACGCGAUCGCUACCACAAUCGGAAAAAACAAUCUCUAUUGGAAAGACAACAAUUUCAACAAACGAUACCAGAAGACGCUAGGAAUAACUGACGAAGAUAUCGAAAAGCAGAAUUCUUUCAAAAUUUGGCUUCGAAACUAUCAACAACGGGCUGAUAAAUUCUUUAAUCUUUGGAACGACUCGUUUUUGCUACGCAUACAAACCAUCUUAAAAGACACAGCUGCUGGCAAAAUAAAUGUACUGGCCGAGUGAUCAAGACCUGUAUACCUUUUGAUCGACGCGGAUUUUGAUUCUAUAUAUGGAAAAUUGGACAUUCCUCGAAGGACACACGGGAAAGAUUUAUUCAACAAUUCUUAUCAUGUAUAUCAAAAUGGAUUGAAGGACGAUCUUUCUCGACAAUUGUUGAACCAUCUAGAGGAAACAUCUGUUGUCAAAAAUACCCGAGAUUUCAUCUGUUGUUCCAUUUUCCAUGGGGUCAAGCCGGUUCGUACGUCAUCAAGAAAGCUGCCAUCGUUUCUACGAGUGCAAACUGAUGUGUGUUAAAACGUAAAUUUAAUUCCGAGAAGUAGUAGAGCUUUUGCGUCAGGAACUUAAAGAGAAAAAUAUUUUAUUUUCGCAUCUAUGUAAUAGCCAAACCAAACAGGUAACAAGGUUACUUUCGAUUGAAGAAAUACUUUUAAUGAACACUAAAUGGAACAUGUAAAUAAAAUGUAUUGAAAUCGAACGUUUAUUAUAAAAAAAAACCCGUAAUUUUACCGCAAUGUGCUCAACCAUAUCAUUCUUUGUUUUUAAAAAUACUAUAUCACACAGUUGGUUUUCCUGUAAAUGCGCUAAAUUCAAGUGCUAAAUAUUGUUGAAAUACACCUGGUAUGAUUGCUGAAAGUACUAUGAAA